rnacentral:rRNA from 1 species
AUGCAAGCGUGGUGCUCGGCCGUCGGCGCCACGCCGUACUUGGCCUCCAUGUUGUCGAAGUACUCCCAGGCUUCGGUGACCAGGCCCAUGGAUCGGCAUGCGGUGAGCACCGCCGUGAAUGUUACGCCGUCCGGCUUCAGCCCCGACCUCCACAUGUCGUGGAACAGCGCCGCCGCCUCGUGUGCCUGCCCGUGCACGGCCAGCCCGGUGAGCAUCGCGUUGCAGCACCGCAGCGGAGGCCGGGCUCGACGCGGCCACCCGCUUGCUGCGCCCCGUGCUCAGUGGCGUGUUCAGCAUGCCGCUGCUGGCGCACUACAAGGUCGACCCCAAGCGCAACCGGCUGCUCAUGGUGGCCUGCAACACCGAGGACAUGCUCCUCCCGCGCGCCAACUUCACUUUCUACGAGUUCGACGCCGGCUUCAGGCUGGUGCAGAAGAUGGAGUUCGUGCUGCCAGCGCACCUCAUGAUCCACGACUGGGCCUUCACCGACUCCCACUACGUCGUCCUCGGCAACAAGAUCAGGCUCGACAUCCCGGGGUCGAUGCUGGCCAUGACGCGCACGCACCCCAUGAUCGCGGCGCUCGCGCUGGACCCGGGCAGGCGGACCACGCCGGUCUACCUGCUGCCGCGCUCCACGGAGGCCGUGGCCAGCGGCCGCGACUGGACCGUGCCCGUCGAGGCGCCGUCGCAGAUGUGGUCGCUGCACGUCGGCAACACCUUCGAGGAGGACAACGGCCGGGGCGGCCUCGACCUGCACCUGCACAUGUCGGGCUGCUCCUACGAUUGGUUCCAUUUCCACAAGAUGUUUGGUUACAACUGGAAGAACAAGAAGCUGGAGCCUUCCUUCAUGAACGCAGUGAAGACCAAGGAAAUGCUGCCUCUUGUUCUUACGUGAAUAAUUGUGUAGUGCGGGUUCAUUAG